CAUUAGUUAAAUUAAAUCGAUAUGUGUGACAGAAUCUUGGUUUGGAAUGUGGGCAGACAAAACCGGACCCUGACCAGAAAGAAUCAAAUAAAACUGAUGAGAACGCCUCCAACUCUAAGCACAACAGUAAGCUACAUGGAAAAAUAGAAACAUUUGUUGUAGUUCUCUCACCUGACAAGUGGCAGCACAUUUUUCUUGAACCAGGCCCUGGGGAGAUAGGGCAGCUAAGCGGACAAUGGCACAUGAAGAAGUGUGGGGAUAGAUGCGUGGGAGUGGUUUAGGAAGAACGUGUGGGUGGGUUAUGUUCUAUAU